rnacentral:lncRNA from 1 species
UAUAGGCGAAUGUGGGAAACAUGGACAUCCCUCAUGAUGACUGACUUGGGGAGUUUUAAGAUGCAGUCUGGGCUGCAUUCAGAUGCUGAGUGCAAAAGAGUGGAGUCAGACACGAUGCUCAUAAGCUCUUUGGCAAAUGGGAAAUGACCGCUCUAUAGUGCUUAGCCCCGUUUCUGGACCAAAGCAACCUGCGUUAAUUGUGGUUUUUUGAACCUUUCAUCAACCUACUCACAUAUAGGAAGGAUGACAGAAACACUCAGAAUUAUUUAUCCUGUUUUACAUUUAGGAUCUCUAACAUUUAAUUUUUGUUAUAUAGUCCAUUUAUUUGUUUGGGGGAGCAGGGGCCUGCCAUUGCACACAUGUAGUAGAAAUCAGAGAACUUGUGGAAUAAAUUCUCCCCUUCUAACAUGUGGGUCCUGGGCCUCAAAUUCAGACAGUCAGGCUUGGUAGCAAUACCCUCACUUACAGAGCCCCCUCUCCAGCCUACCUUUUCCCUUCUUGACUAAUGCUCUCAGAAAAGCAUCUUAAUUUUUUUCCUUCCCAUUGCUACAAUCUCUCAAAGAUAUACUUAAUGGUUUAUAUAUAUAAUGGGCUGGCAGAACCCUGUUUGCCCAGUCACUUAGUUAACAGUACUUAAACUGUAGGCACUGUAUAACUGUUUUCCAACAGAUAAAUUAAGUGCGGUCUUGUGUAAUGAAUGAGGACAGAGCUGGACAGAGAGAAACAAGGAGAAAGAACAUUUGAAAAUGUUGGGGGACUUUCAAGUUCACAGUGGAAGAAAGAUUGGAGCUUCAUCCAUGGGCGUGAAAGAGGGUGUUUCUGGUGGAAACAAUUGCUAGAAUGAAUUCAGAGGAGAUACUGUACCCU